GUGGCUAUUUGACUCAACGCGGGGAAUCUUACCGGGUCCGGACACACUGAGGAUUGACAGACAGUUGUCUUUCCCUCCCUUCGGGGUGGGAUUACAAAAGAUAACAGAUCUUUCAUGAUCAUGUGAUGGGUGGUGCAUGGCCGUUCUUAGUUCGUGGAGUGAUCUGUCUGCUUAAUUGCGUUUCAAAUUUUAUAUUUGUUAACAUGCGAGUCUUCAAUGACGGCCACUCCACCUUAUAGACAUUAUAUGAUAUGCACAUUUGUGUAUUUGAUUAUAACUUGUCUGGAGUCUGGCUCGAUUUUUUUGACUCAAUUGAACGCAACGGACGUGAUUGCAAGUCCUUGUUGAACAAAUUAUAUAUAUACUACUUCAUCAUUAGUAUAUAUAGUUCGCUUCUCAUGUCGUAGCAGUCAAACGGGCGGGCGUCUUAAUUGGCGCGGUCACGAGGCUUAAUAUGCUGCGGCUGGGAAAACUUGGGCGACCGCUGUAAUACUUCUCUCUUAAACCAGAGGAAGAUUGCGGCAAUAACAGG
rnacentral:rRNA from 1 species